rnacentral:rRNA from 1 species
UUGACUGUGCUAAGGUAGCAUAAUAAAUUGGCUUUUAAUUGAAGUCGGGAAUGAAAGGGUGUUUGGGGCUAUUCUGUCUUAUUUUUAUUUUUUAAAAAUUACUAAUGAGGUGAAAAUUCCUCAAUGUUUUAUAAUAGACGAGAAGACCCUAAGAAUUAUUACAACUAUUAAAUUGAAUUAAUAAAAGUUUUUGUUGGGGCAACAGCUUUGAAUAACCAAAGUUAAAAUUUACUAUAAAAAGAUUAUAUUAAAAACGGAUUUAAUUACCUUAGGGAUAACAGCAUAAUUAAAUUUUAGAUUGUGACCUCGAUGUUGGAUUAAGGCCU